rfam:Thiorhodospira sibirica ATCC 700588 ctg236, whole genome shotgun sequence.
GUUUAAACCCUAAAUCCACUACAACAAGGAUUGAAAC